AACCUAGCACACCUGCGGUGUGUACCUGCGGAGGGAUCAUUAACAAGCUGUGGGAGAUCGAUCAAUUUGAUCUCACACCUGGCCAACCUUGUUAACCUUAAAUAUAUUGCUUUGGUGAGCCCUGCUCACCAAAGUCAAACCCUAAACUCUUGAUUGUUUCUGCUGUCUGAGCAUGCAAGUGCAAAAUUUAGUUAAAAACUUUCAACAAUGGAUCU
rnacentral:misc_RNA from 1 species